rfam:Alpha proteobacterium BAL199 1103548001526, whole genome shotgun sequence.
CUGUGCGGCUCCAAGGUGCCGGAUGCCCAGGCGGCGUUCGAGAGUGCGAACACCCUGCUGCCGACGGUGCUGGCCGGUGUCAACUUCGUGCUGCACGCCG